UACGUAGGGGGCAAGCGUUGUCCGGAUUUAUUGGGCGUAAAGAGCGUGUAGGCGGCUUUACAGGUCCGUUGUGAAAACUCGAGGCUCAACCUCGAGACGCCGGUGGAAACCGUCUGGCUAGAGUCCGGAAGAGGAGAGUGGAAUUCCCGGUGUAGCGGUGAAAUGCGCAGAUAUCGGGAAGAACACCCGUGGCGAAGGCGGCUCUCUGGGACGGUACUGACGCUGAGACGCGAAAGCGUGGGGAGCGAACAGG
rnacentral:rRNA from 1 species